rnacentral:rRNA from 1 species
CGCGCAGGUGGUUUCUUAAGUCUGAUGUGAAAGCCCACGGCUCAACCGUGGAGGGUCAUUGGAAACUGGGAGACUUGAGUGCAGAAGAGGAUAGUGGAAUUCCAAGUGUAGCGGUGAAAUGCGUAGAGAUUUGGAGGAACGCCAGUGGCGAAGGCGCCUUUCUGGACUGUGUCUGACGCUGAGAUGCGAAAGCCAGGGUAGCGAACG